CGGGGCUUGGCUCUGGAGAGUUCUCGGGGAGGCGGGCCGGGCACUCGGGUCUCGCCAGCACCCUUGGGCUCCAGGCGGCUCCUCGGCGCCGCUCCUCCCUGGCCCCGGCGGUGUCUCGGCUGGGCGCCGGGGCCCUCCAGCUCGUCCCGUCUCGGGGCUGGGCCGCCUGCAGGCCCGCUCGCUGCUGUGGCCGGAGCCAACCCAGCGCUCCGCCAGCGCCUUGCGCCCCGGGCCACCAGCCCGCCCGUCGGCACGUGUCGCAGCACCGCCUCGGCUGUGGUUCCGGGUUAGAAGGGAAGGAUUCGUGAGGCCAUCGGUCAUCGGGCGGACAUGGGGCGGGGGCAGCCCAGCCAGAGGCCAGGGCGGCGGCGGCCUGGGCGGCGGCCCCUGGGCGGCGGGCUCUGGGCGGCGGGGCCUGUGCUGGUGCAGAAGCAGUCCUGCAGGCCUGAGCGUGGGAGCCCAAGAACGGAGCGAGGACACGUCAUCCGUGCCUGAGCCCACAUGCUGCUUGGGCAGAGCAGUCCAUACAGUUUCCAGAGGAAGAUUCCAAUGACCUGAGGAUGGAGAUUCGGGCAGUACAUGGAGCCGGGAAGUUGGGAAAAAGACUCACUUCAGACCCAAGCCGACCCCGCGCAGUGGUUCUGCAGAUUGGAAGUGUGAAAUCAUCGUGUCGGCAGGGCCUCACUCCAUCUGGAGCUUCUAGAGGAGGAUCCGUUCCUCACCUCCUCCAGCUGCCCGUGGCUCCAGGCAUUCCUUGGUUUGCGGCCGCAUCACUCCACUCUCUGUCUCUGUCUUCACAUGGCCUUCUCCUUUGAGUCUCCUCCCCUCCUCUUACCAGGGGAGGAUUUAGGGCUCAAUCCUAAUCCAGGAUGAUCUCUUCUCAAGAUCCUUAACUUCUGUAAAGACCCUUUUUGCAAAUAAAGUCAUGUUCACAGUUUCCAGCGGGCAAUCUUUUGGGAGACUGCUAUUCGAACCACUGCACCUCUCCCGUUUCAAAUUUGAAAAACACGCCACACUGUAGGGCCUGGGAUCUGGCUUCCUACAGCCAACAAGGGGACAGGCAAUGCAAGCUGGAUGUGUGAGGAAGUAACUCCCAACUGACGAAGCUUGACCAAAUGGAAAACAAGAGAAGGAAGAAACCAGGGAGAUGAAUCUCGCCCUCCCUGGCCCUCCUCCCACCCCGCUGAAGAAGGCUCACGUGUUCCAGCAAGCCUGCCAGCCAAGCUGCCCAGCUCUUCCAAGCUCUUCCUGAAGACAACGCCUUCACACCCUUCUUCUCCU
rnacentral:lncRNA from 1 species